rnacentral:sRNA from 2 species
UAACCAUGUUCAACUGUAUGCCCAUUAUUUUGAAUAUUGUGAUCUUCAAAAAUUAAUUGAUAAUCACUGCUGUAAUGGGGAUCCGGCACGGGUAAAAAUUUCACCGAGUAUUCCCCUACAUAUAUCUAUCUCGCUGUUGCUAGAUAGAUCUUUCCUUACAAUUUACAUGUACGACGAACAACCUAGAUAUCAUUCGCGGAUCUCAUUCAUUUAAGCAGGUCAGUAAAUAGAUAGGCAGGUAGGCAGGCAGGUAGUCAGCUAGUAAGCUGGCAUUGAUUGGUAGAUGGGUAACUGAAUGGUGAAGUUUAUUCUCAUAGAGAUUGAUUGGAUAUUGAACAGGUUCCAGGAGCUUUGUAUGAUUCUUAGAGACUUCGCUUCGCUCUGUCUAAUAACCAGCAGCCGGCUCAACCUUCCAAGAGCCGGUGAAUCAUUCUGAUAUAAUCUGACCCAUACAUUCUACUGCCUCAAUAUUUGAUCCUUCUAUCUGAAUAUGUUCUGAUAUAACACUAUGUUACCUUAUAUAGCUUGAUCCUCGUAGAGUCCUAAGAACAUCCCCUAGAUAAGCA